UGGCUAAAUAAAUAAAGUCUGAGUAUCCUAGUGAUCCUGACUAAACCGAAAUGGCUAAAUAAAUAACGUCUGAGUAUCCUAGUGAUCCUGACUUAUGGUACAACCACCGCAAACCAGAUACCCAUAACCCUAGUGGAUGGGACCAGACCGAGGGUUUCCUUCUGGCCUUGAAGGAACUAGCCGUCUGGGGUCCUAGAGACAACAUACUAAAUAUUCAAAGGGAAAUGGAAGCUCUAGCCGUUUGGAGUGACCAGAACCACUUCUCCGACGACACCGACGAAGAGGAAAACUCUAAAGCUAAGGGUCCCAGCGAAUUGACCCACCAGGUGUCGGGAAAUACAGAAGGAGGACCAACUGAGAUACCGGCUGAUGAAAUAGUGUGCUUGCCUAGUGCUCCACGGCAGCUAUGGAUCUCA